rnacentral:tRNA from 1 species
GGUCUGGUGGUGUAGUUGGUUAUCACGUCAGUCUAACAGGUCGAGAGCCUCGUGUCUCUCGUCUGCCACACUGAAGGUCUCCGGUUCAAGUCCGGGCUAGAUCA